rnacentral:lncRNA from 1 species
UUUCAUGUCCCUUGUUUGCUCAAGCACUGCUCCGCUCUUCUCAUCCCCUUUCUCUUCCUUUUUUUUUCCUCUUUAUUUUGUCUGUACCCAGUAGUUUUCCCCAAGCCCUAUAACUAUGUCUAUGUAUAUUGUUGCAGCAAAAUGUAUAAAGGAGACACUCAUUAUUUGCAUCCAUUUAUAUGCUGAUAUAAGUAUUUCAUCCUCAAGUUUCAGAGGGAUGCUGGUGAUUUGGUGAGAAAGAAGCAACUAUUUCUGUGAUUUAAUUUCAACGUGAGCAUUGAAGAGGCUCCCCUUCACCCUUUUACUACUGGUGAUAACUCCAUGUUUCCAAGAACUAAUGGGUUGAAGAACUUAGCACUUGUGAUGGAUUAGUCAAGCAAAAACUAUGAAAAGUUAACUCAUAAGUUGUUGAGUAGAGCCAUGUAUUCUUCAGUCUCUCCAAUGAACACCUUCACUGAUAUCCAAAGCGUGAAGAGAGACACCAGGGAAAAACAUGGACCUAACAAAGGACAAAUGGAAUUAUUAGAAACAUUUUCCAGAAGAACACUACUCUGUGGCCAUUUGAAUCUUUGCUUCUUUCUAGGUUUGACAAUGAGGCUAUCAUAUAAGCUCAAAUGUAAACUGAAAGAGGUUGAAUCAGUCAGGAUAAACCCUAUUGUGCCAUGGUAACAAACAACCUCAAAAUCUCAUUGGCUUAAAAUACAAAGAAUUAUUCUUACUCAUGAUACAUAUCCAUCAAUGAUCUGCAGGGGAUCUGCUCACUGAAGUCACUGAAGUGAACUUGGACUGAUGGAACUGCCACUUUUUGGUUACUGUGUGUAUUAAUCUGUUUUCAUGCUGCUGUUAAAGAUCUGAAACUGGGAACAAAUACAGGUUUAAUUAAGACUUACAGUUCCACAUGGCUGAGGAGGCCUCAGAAUCAUGAUAGAAGGUAAAAGUCACUUCUUACAUGGUGGGAGCAAGAGAAAAAUGAGGAAGAAGCAAAAGUGGAAACCCCUGAUAAACACAUCAGAUCUCGUGAGACUUACUUCACUAUCAUGAGAAUAGCAUGGGAAAGACAGGCCCCUGUGAUUCAGUUACCUCCCCCAGGUCCCUCCCACAAUAUAUGGGAAUUCUGGGAGAUACAAUUCAAGUUGAGAUUUGGUGGGGACAUAGCCAAACCAUAUCAUUUUGCCCCUGGCCCCUCCAAAUCUCAUGUCCUCACCUUUAAAACUAACCAUGCCUUCUGAAUAGUCCUCCAAAGUAUUAACUCGUUUUAGCAUUAAUCUGUAAGUUCACAGCCCAAAGUUUCAUCUGAGACAAGGCAA